CCUACGGGAGGCAGCAGUGAGGAAUAUUGGUCAAUGGACGAGAGUCUGAACCAGCCAAGUAGCGUGAAGGAUGACUGCCCUACGGGUUGUAAACUUCUUUUAUAUGGGAAUAAAAUGGUCCACGUGUGGGUUUUUGUAUGUACCAUAUGAAUAAGGAUCGGCUAACUCCGUGCCAGCAGCCGCGGUAAUACGGAGGAUCCGAGCGUUAUCCGGAUUUAUUGGGUUUAAAGGGAGCGUAGAUGGAUUGUUAAGUCAGUUGUGAAAGUUUGCGGCUCAACCGUAAAAUUGCAGUUGAUACUGGCAGUCUUGAGUACAGUAGAGGUAGGCGGAAUUCGUGGUGUAGCGGUGAAAUGCUUAGAUAUCACGAAGAACUCCGAUUGCGAAGGCAGCUCACUGGACUGCAACUGACAUUGAUGCUCGAAAGUGUGGGUAUCAAACAGGAUUAGAUACCCUUGUAGUC
rnacentral:rRNA from 1 species